GCAAAUCAGCAGCCAAAAAUGGAGGAGCCACAAAACGGCAACGCCAGUCGAGAACGACGAGUAUGCAAUGAUUGGACCUGGUCCAGCGCCGAAGGCCCGAGCCAAGCGUCCUCUUCAGUUCGAGCAAGCUGACCUUAAUUUGUAAAAAUGGCCUGCUUUGUUGCACAAUUUCAAAUGAUCGGUCCGUGAAAAUACAUGAUGUUGUCAAUUAUGACAUGAUGGUCAUGAUCUGCCUUCCGUACGUUCAUGGCACUGCUGAGUUGGUCUACAAACAAGGGGAUGUCAAAGCUGCAACAUCAACAGCUCACCAUUUUCAUAACAUGGGGUUUUAACUCCUGGAUUCUUUCUUAUUCCAUGAUGAAGACCUCAACUUUCUUUGUUUCCUUUUCUAUUCCAUUUCUCCAGAUACAUUUGGAGCCAGUUAAAGUUAUGAAGUUACAACCCUGUACUUGACACAGUGAUAUAUGCUGAUGCAAAGGGGAUUAUUGAAUACUGGGGGUCCCACCAUACUUCAGUUCCAUUGGUAUUUGGGCUUCAUAACUGAGGGUCACACAGUGAUAUCUGCUGAUGCAAAGUUGUGAUGAUAACUGUAAAUGUUACACCAUUGUUCACCAGGUGAGCCCAGAUGGUAAGCAGUUUUCCAUUACACCACCUGAUCGAAGGAGACCCGAAUAUUGGUUUAGGACGGGAGGCUCAAGAUCUCCAGAGAAGUGAUGCUCCCUUGUACCGGUUAGAGGCUAUUGAUUUUGGGUGAAGAAUGGCUGUUGAGAAAGAAAAUGAGAAGACAGAAACUGCACCUCCACUGAAUGCCAUCUUUGACAAAAACUCAAACUUUCUUAUAUAUGCAACCCUCCUUGGAAUAAAACCGGAGAGAACCAGAGGAACCUGGGGACUCGACUAAAGGGAGGGGUGUGUUCAAUGAAAAACCUCAACCCGAUGAACUUUUAGCCGUAUCAGAUUCAG